GACCAGCCAGUCAGUCGUUGUCCACCCGAAUGACAACAUUUAAUUUUAAUUUUAAGUCUAAUUAUACUAUUGCGCGAACUAUACGAAGUUAAGUCAUACUUAUUUUUAAUUGCAAGCAAACUAACCUCGCGAACGCAGUGCCGUCAUCGAAUCUGGAGAAAAAAAAUCAAAUCGAACCCUUACGUAAAAUAAAAGAAUCAUAGCAAGCCAAGAUCAACCCGAGAUCAAAUUCCCCGUGCGGAGCGAAAGGAGGAAAUACUCACGCGACAUUUUAUUAUCAAUUGUGCAAAUUUCAUGCGAAGGAUUACCCGGUUUUGGUUAUUGUUUCUUUGUUAUCGAAAUUCAACGAGUUAUUAUUUCAAUGUUAAUCGAAUUAAGUUAAUCACACCAUUUACGACUUUUUUAAAGUGAGAAAAGUGAAGUGCGACCAUCAGGGGCGAAGAGAUAUAGAAGUUAACCGAAUCAAAUACUGUCGAUUGGGGGAAGAAAAAAAAAGUUUUCGUGCCGCUUGUGAAAAAAGUGUGGUCAGCCUCGAUCGCAAUACGAAGAUCAACAGAUGUGUGAGAGAAGAGUAUACUAAAAUAAAGUGGGGAAGUGUGAACCACUAAUGUUGCUACAUAGCUACCGUACUUUUUAGUCCACUAAUCAUCAAGUGGCGCGCAACAUUAGCAUCGUUUCAACGAGUAAGCACACAAUCCGCGCUACCGGCGUGUUGAGCAGUGUGUUCAAUUUACAUUGCUGAUAUCGAGUCAGCCGGUGGUGUAUAGUUCAAAGGAGUGAGAAGGAGAGGGGUAGAGUUGAAUUAAAUCGGGAAGAAACGCCCAUAUAGAUAAAAAGGUUAAAGCUGAAAGCGACAGAACAAAUCGUCUCCACGAAUAAAGGCUUCGAUUUAUAAGAAUAUCCAGUGCGGAAGAGACAUUGUUGAUGAAGCACAAGAACACAUAGUUAAGAGUUACAAGUGAAUUGACUAUUGUAAAAUUAAAAUUAAAUGUUUGAACCUUUAAGCAAGCAGCAGUAAAUAAUGGCAGACAUUGAGCAAAAUCUUCAACAGGAUACAAACAUCGAAACCCCCGAUUGUUCAACGGGUAUAGCGGCAUCAAAGGAGGAACGCAGAACCUACAGUCGCUCCCGGUGCGCCAAACCAAGUGACAGUGAAAAGGUGACCUUGUAUCUCAGUGCCAGAAAGGCCAGUGAAUAUCACAACAAAAUGGCCAGUAGUGCAGAACCCACUGAGGUAUCGGUGCCGAUCCGGAAAAGUGCUAAUCUAGUCAAGUGUGACAGCGAUAAAGAAGUAAAUAUGCUCAAAAGAAAGAAAGUGUCAUCGGUGAAUCAACAGAAUAAAGAUGCAGAUCAUGAACCGACGUACGCUUCGGUGCUCAAACAAUCAGACGCAGAGAAUAUCCAACCGCCUUCGUUGACCGUCAGUGUCACCGGAUUCUCCAGUAGCAAACGAAUAAAGAUAGAUCUGAAAAGUGGCGAGGGUAAAAUAAUUGCCAGUAAACCACCCAUUCCUCCGAAAUCAGAUGCCGCGAGGUCAACGCAGCAGCAGCACCACCACCACCAACAGCAAGUGGGCGCGGGAAAGUCAAAGAAACAUGUGAUCAGUGAGGCCCACAAUGCGUUGACCGCUCAAAAGCUGCUUGCUCAGAACGAACAGAUGCGGCUGGAAAUUAACGAGCUGCGACUCAGUUUAGCUACCGAGCGAAAUGCUGUGAGAGUUUUGAGGGCUCAAAAUGAAUCGGACCUGCGUCGGUCAAAGACCGAAUGUAAAAAGCUACAGGAAGCUCUCUCACAUCAGAAGCGCAAUGUCGCAACGGUUACACCUGCGGCUAAGCGCACGAAUCGAACUGCAAGCACCAGUAGUUUGGAUGUUCAUGGUAGCCAGACGGCGUCGCUCCACCAGCUGAAUCUGGACAUUCUUAAACUCAACCAGGAGCUUUCCGCAUUGCGUGAGACUAACAAGUUCUUGGAGGAUAAAAUACAAAUUUCCUCGGAGGCUGAACGGCGGAAGGCUUCUGACAUGCGAGUGCAAAGGGACCUGUAUGAACUGCGAUUGACUCAACUGACUAAGUCUGCCAAAAGCGAAAUCCAACGGCUGCUGGAGGAGCUAAAAUCCAAAGACCGCAACAGUGGUCUUCUGCGGAAGGAGAUUUUAGCGCUGCAGAAGGCAGGGGGAUCCAAGAAGGAGAGAAAGGCUGCUAAAAAUUCCGCUCAGCAAUCGCAAGAGAUGCGAAAACUGCAUGAGUCCGAGCCAUGUAGCGGAAACGUCAGCCAUAGUGCCAGCCCCAGUAGCAUCCGGUCGGUCUGCGAGGUAUUGGAACGACAGAACGAUGCUGAAGCUGACGAGCCUUUAGGAGCAUCCAACGCCCACAACUGCUCUCCUUCGCUGGAAACGAACAUUGACAACAUUGACGGCAACGGUCAAACAACGAUUGACUAUUAUGAUAGUGGUAGCAACUGUAGCAGCUUAAGAAUAGAAUUAGAAACGACGACGUGUGGCUAUGACGAGCUCAGGCCAAAGCCACACGAAUCACGAACCAUGGAAGCUCACAACGAUUUACACGCUUCUAGUAGUACAAUAGAAAACAAAACCGACAAAACAUCGGCCAGUAGCGAGUCAGGUGUAAUCGGACCGACUAGAACCAUCGGACGUAGACAGUUUUCCUUGACUUCGGACGCCGACUCGGCCAUAUCGUCGGCCCCGCCGUCACUAAGCCCGCAAACAACGAGCUGUCCAAAUUCGCCGGAAGCUUGGCGAGCCCAUCCGCAGUCGCUGCGGGAGCAGAGCCAACUGAUCGAGAUCAAGAUGGAGCUGGAUCGAAUGCAGGCCAAGUACGACCUGCUCAGUGCCGACUACGGUCGCGCCAAAGAGCAGAUCGAUGAACUCGAACGGGAGUUGAUGGAGGCAACACAGGUAACGCGAGAAAGAGCGAAAAUUGUCGAACGCUUGGAGUACCUGGAGCAGCGAGAGGAGAGUUUGCUGCGCGAAAGCCACGAACUGCGCGAACAGAACGAGCUGCUCGAAUUUCGCAUUAUUGAGCUGGAGGAGAGUCACGAUAAGUGGUCACUUCGCAGCAAUCCAAGCCCAACGGUCGGCAGCACCAACGGUAGCCACAGCACCAAGGACGUAUGGACCGAUACGGACAAGGAGCACGACGAUCUGAUUAUGCACUCGGAACGGUCCGAUUCGGGAGUGACAUCUCCGAACAGCCAUCACCACCUGGACGAUCAUCGCACCAGCGGAGUACCGUCGCCGUGCUGUGAUCUGUCGCUGCUGGAUCAAAUUCCGACGGAUGACGUACGCAAGCGGAUCAUCACAAUGUCCAAGCGGGCCUGUUACGACGAAGAGGAUAAGAUGUGCCUGCUGCAGAUUCUGUCGCUGUUAAACAAUCUGGAGGCAUUGUCUCAGGAUCACGAGAUAGUGAGUGAGGAUACAAGUCUGGAGAUACCUGUGAAGUACAACUACCCCUUCCCGGAAAGCCACCCGCCGAAAUCACUUGCGAUAAGCUCGACGCCGUUCAAGAGCCAGCAAGGUAAGAUAGUGGCCACCGUUCAGCCAUUCAAUAGCAGCGAACCAAAGAGUCUUUCGAUCGCAUCGAUUGCGGAGACUUUUGGCGGAAUGAAGAAGUCGGCCAAGUGGGGAUCUACCAGCCUGCAGGAGAGUGGAGUGUUUGUGGACGAAAUUAUGAUUAGCAGUGCGAGCACUCAAACGGAGCUGGAAGAUUUUCCGUGUCUGGAACGAACGAACGCGGAACUUUGCGCGGAGAUUGAGAAACUGAACAGAUUCCGGAAGAAGAUCGAAGAAUGUUCGAUUAAGAGACGCGGAAAGAAUCCGGUUGGGGUGAGCUUGUCUUUGCCGGCGGAAUCCUGCGAGAAACGAAGGCUGCAGUACUAUGUGGAUCGUUUGGAACUGCUGGAAAACAAGAUUAAAGUUUACGAGAGCAGUGGUGAUCAGCAGAUAAGGCAGCUAGCGGAGAGGUUACAGCGAGAGAUUCAGCUGGAAGGUUGGGUGAAACUGUUGAGUGAACAGAUUAACAAGUUAGAGGACGACAACGACCGGUUGGAAGAGGAAAGGUGCGAACUGGAAGAGAUUGAAAACGAUACAAGGUUGAAGUUGCAACGAAUGGAAAUUGACUACGAGGUAAUGAGUCAGAGGAAUACAGAGCUUGAGAUAUCCAAAAGCUCGUACCAAUCGAAGUAUCAAGAUGCCAGAGAUAGCGCAGAAAGUCUGGAGGACUUGGUGCACAAAUGUGAGGAGAGGAUAUUUGUCCUUGAGGAAACCGAAAACGAACUCAACGAUCGUAUCGAUCUAAUAUUAGCGUUCAUCCCGGUGCUAUUGAUGUACAACAGCUGGCAGUUGCAGGAACAAAUGGCUGCCAUUCGGAAACCGUUUGCGUUCAACCAAAUCGAAUCCGAUCACAUCGAGUACUACGAAUCGGCGAACGAUGACUUGCAAAUGAGGCUCGGAGAAUUGUUGACCCGCGAGAAGGAACUCACGCAAAACAUUGCGGAGCUGAAUAGAGCCUACAACGAAACGCUGGAAAACGCGGACAACCUUUGGGCUCAGAUGGAGAAGGAGUACAAAGAUAAAAUCACAAAGUGUGAGACAAUCGAAUGUAAUCUCAAAUCGAAAAUUACUCAAUUAGAGGAGCGUCUCAGUAAAGACAGUGAAUAUGCUCACGAGCGAAUAACUCACCUGGAGGAGGCUGAAAACAGUCUGAAAAACCGCGUGGCGAAGUUGAACAAAGAUAAUAAGGAACUGAUUGCAAAGCAUACUGCUCUGCUGGAAGAGUACGCCACUUUGAAGGAGGAAUACCUGAAGUUGCAAAAUUAUCUUCGAGGUCCGGCAGUGGAGAACCUUGAGAAGGAGAAACGUAAAAUUGUCGCACUUGAGGAGGAGCUGUCACUCAGCACCCGACUGUUGAAGGAGGUAGAAGAAACGCACAAAACUGAAGUGGGCCAGAUGCGAGGCAAGAUGAUGAGUGCGACAAAGGAACUGAAUCACAUCGAGGUGACGAACAGUGAACUGCGGGAGGAGGUAGACACUUUGGAAACACGUAUCCGGGAGCUGCUGACACUGCGAAAUGCAGAUGAUGAACGGAUUAAGCAUCUGACCGAGGAGCUGCAUGCCAAACAGGCUCAGAUUAGCCAACUGCAACUGCAUGCUGCUAACAACAACACCAAAGCAGGCUUCGGCCGGAGUCUUGCACAGGAGCUGGAACGGCCUGUUAAGGGUUCUUACUCCAAGCUGGGCUACGAAAUCCACCCGCUUAGUCGGAGAUUCCCCGGUGAUAGCGAUAGCAGUGGAAGUGAGGAUAAGAUCAAAUUCCCGAUAUCGAGACCGGCCACGGAAACCAAAGAAGUGAAGAGCCUGGCCGAAACGAUAAUCCUGAACGCCGAAAGUCGGGGCGUUCGAACGCCAAAGAAAUCAUUUGUAGAGGAGGCUCGCAGUCGCUUCGCCCGUUGGGUUUAGUAUCAUUCUUUGUAAAAAUUGACAUCUGGAACAGCCGAGCCAAAGCCGGAGGACGAGGAGAAGAAGCUACAUACAACUACCCCCUGUGUGGAUGUUUGAAACCACUAACACUUGUGUAACUGGAAGGGUUUUGAUGUCAAUUAUCCCCGAACAAUAGAGUCAAUCUGUGGGUGGGAUAUGUACAGAAUGUGAUAAUCUAAAGUGCCUUUGGACAACUCAUCUGGACCUUACACGCCACGAGAUCAAUAGAUCGAAAAUAAGAGGACAACACCUUUUCACCUGUUCCCGUAGCAUCGUAGUAGGCCGUAGAUGAAUCACUUUUACGAUUUUGACAGCUGGAAAGGAAACAAGUUCCCGGCAGUAGUAGAGGCACCAUCUGCCUUCAACAAGUUGGAAACAACAAGAAUCUAGUCGAUUUGAUUAUACAUUAGUUUACUAUGUUUUGAUAUCCAGUAGACAUACAGUUUAGGUUUGAGAAUCCCAUUGUACAGUUUAUACGCCGAGACACUUAUUUAAACAUAGAACACAACAAACAGCCACACAAUCACAGAGCAAUGCAGAAACGAAACGACAACCCCUCGGCCGAUUGGGUUUUUACCCGCGAUCCGAGGGGGUAGUGAACAAGGUAAUUUCUUUUUGGAAAUUAUUUUUUCUUCAUUUUGCUAUGCCCAGUUUCGUUCAGUUUCUCAAACUGUUUUUGCUUUGUUAAGUUGCCUAGAACUGCCCGAUUUGUACAGUCAUUGGUUUUCAUCAUUAUUUCCCCGUAGCAAAUAAUUAUGUUAAGCUCGCACGAACCCAUUUUGCGCACAUUUAUUUUGUUAUUUUGUAAAUACUAUAAGUUAGCGAACUACCCUGAGUAGUUUUUAUUUCGUUAGUACAAUUUACUUUAGCAGCAUUUGAUGCAAGUUGAACAAUAGGAUGAAUAGACGGCAAAUAGAGCUUGGUUUUGCCUUUUUACUAUUUCGGUUGAAUUUUGUUUUUGUCGCUCAUUAUUUGAAUUUUUUAUCAGUAUCCAUCUACAACAACUCAAUGAUUAUUUUUUAUCUUCGAACGAAUAAAACUGAGAAUUACAUAUUUGCAUUAUAGAUUACUACAAUCAGAUAAAUUGUUACAAUAUAAUGUGAGCUUCCACAUUUGAGUGAAUACACAGUGUAGUUGCAAGAAAAUGUUUAGAGUUGUGACUCGAAAUCCAUUGUAACGGACAGAGAAAAAUAUAUUGGAACUUUAUUAGAACAA